rnacentral:rRNA from 1 species
GGCUUUUUGAUUAUAAUUUAAAGUCUGACCUGCCCAAUGAGUUAUUAAAUGGCCGCAGUAUCUUGACUGUGCAAAGGUAGCAUAAUCACUAGUUUUUUAAAUGAAAGCUUGUAUGAAAGGUUUAAUGAGAAAAAUACUGUCUCUGUUUAAAUAAUAUUAGAAUUUUAUUUUUAAGUAAAAAAGCUUAAAUAUUUAUAGAAGACGAGAAGRCCCUAUAGAAUUUUAUAUUUUUAUUGAAUUUAUUAAAUUAGAAUUUUAUAAAUAUGUUUAAUAGAAAUAUUUGGUUGGGGUGAUAAAAAAAUUUAUUUAACUUUUUUUUAAUUUAAACAUAGAUUAAUGAGUAUUUGAUCCUUAAUAUAAAGAUAAAAAGAAAAAAUUACCUUAGGGAUAACAGCGUAAUUUUUUUUAGAGUUCUUAUCAAAAAAAAAGAUUGCGACCUCGAUGUUGGAUUAAAAUAAAUUGUUGGUGUAGAAGCUGAUAUUUUAGGUCUGUUCGACCUUUAAAUUUUUACAUGAUC